rnacentral:rRNA from 1 species
CCUACGGGUGGCAGCAGUGGGGAAUUUUGCGCAAUGCUCGUAAGAGUGAACCAGUGAAGCAGCGUGAAUGACGAAUGCCCUCCGGGUGGAAAGUUCUUUCGACAGAGAAGUAAAUGCAUAUAAGUGACUGUGUAUGUAUUGACGGUACCUGUAUAAACAGCCCCGGCUAACUCCGUGCCCGCAGCCGCGGUAAUACGGAGGGGGCGAGCGUGGUUCGGAGUGACUGGGAGUAAGGAGAACGUAGAUGGUGUUGUAAGUCAAUAGUCAAAGAGUAGAGCUCAACCUUAGUAAGGCUAGUGAUACUAUAAGCCUUGAGUAACAUAGAGGAUUGCAGAAUUCCUGGUGUAGCGGUGAAAUGCGUAGAUAUCACGAGGAACACCGUUUGCGAAGGCGGCAAACU